AGCCGAGCGGUAAGAUUCUUCGGAAUCUUGAGAGCGGCGUACGGGUGCGGAACACGUGUGCAACCUACCUUUAUCAGGGGGAUAGCCUUUCGAAAGGAAGAUUAAUACCCCAUAAUAUAUUGAAUGGCAUCAUUUAAUAUUGAAAACUCCGGUGGAUAGAGAUGGGCACGCGCAAGAUUAGAUAGUUGGUAGGGUAACGGCCUACCAAGUCAAUGAUCUUUAGGGGGCCUGAGAGGGUGAUCCCCCACACUGGUACUGAGACACGGACCAGACUCCUACGGGAGGCAGCAGUGAGGAAUAUUGGACAAUGGGUGAGAGCCUGAUCCAGCCAUCCCGCGUGAAGGACGACGGCCCUAUGGGUUGUAAACUUCUUUUGUAUAGGGAUAAACCUACUCUCGUGAGAGUAGCUGAAGGUACUAUACGAAUAAGCACCGGCUAACUCCGUGCCAGCAGCCGCGGUAAUACGGAGGGUGCAAGCGUUAUCCGGAUUUAUUGGGUUUAAAGGGUCCGUAGGCGGAUCUGUAAGUCAGUGGUGAAAUCUCAUAGCUUAACUAUGAAACUGCCAUUGAUACUGCAGGUCUUGNAGUAAAGUAGAAGUGGCUGGAAUAAGUAGUGUAGCGGUGAAAUGCAUAGAUAUUACUUAGAACACCAAUUGCGAAGGCAGGUCACUAUGUUUUAACUGACGCUGAUGGACGAAAGCGUGGGGAGCGAACAGGAUUAGAUACCCUGGUAGUCCACGCCGUAAACGAUGCUAACUCGUUUUUGGGUUUUCGGAUUCAGAGACUAAGCGAAAGUGAUAAGUUAGCCACCUGGGGAGUACGUUCGCAAGAAUGAAACUCAAAGGAAUUGACGGGGGCCCGCACAAGCGGUGGAUUAUGUGGUUUAAUUCGAUGAUACGCGAGGAACCUUACCAAGGCUUAAAUGGGAAUUGACAGGUUUAGAAAUAGACUUUUCUUCGGACAAUUUUCAAGGUGCUGCAUGGUUGUCGUCAGCUCGUGCCGUGAGGUGUUAGGUUAAGUCCUGCAACGAGCGCAACCCCUGUCACUAGUUGCCAUCAUUCAGUUGGGGACUCUAGUGAGACUGCCUACGCAAGUAGAGAGGAAGGUGGGGAUGACGUCAAAUCAUCACGGCCCUUACGCCUUGGGCCACACACGUAAUACAAUGGCCAGUACAGAGGGCAGCUACCAGGCGACUGGAUGCGAAUCUCGAAAGCUGGUCUCAGUUCGGAUUGGAGUCUGCAACUCGACUCUAUGAAG
rnacentral:rRNA from 1 species